ensembl:lncRNA
CCUCGGGGGUUUCGGGCCAUGGCCACGUCAUUUGUAAAAGAUGGGAGGGAGCAGGGAUGCAGCACUCGGAUGGAGAGUUGCACGCAGCGCUGCCACGGACGCGGCGUGGGCUGGGGGUCUCUAAUCCUGCUCCUGCAACGGAGGAGAGCUCGUCCCCAAAGCCUCCGGCCGAGGCAGCAGAAGGGCGAGCAGGAGCAGCGGGGGAGAGGGGGACGAGUUUGGGGCGCUGCACCCGGCGGGGGCUGCACUGCCCUCCCCAGGCCCGCGGGAAGCAGAGAUUGCAUCUGCCUUUAAUUACUCCCUCUCUGCAUAUCAGAUGCUCGUGCACCUUCUGCACAUGAAUGCUGAUUAAUUGCAGGGUUAGGCUCUGAGGCAGGCCGGACCACAUUAUUUCUGAUGUUUGCUCUUUUCACGAGGAGAAUAAAUGCCAUGAAUCCACAGUAAUCAGUGGCUUUUAGCUUGUCACUCUUAUGACACUCUUUACUUAGACCAGGAAAUGGCAAAUGUGGUGGAAAUAAGAACUUUAUUAUCUAUUUUUUUUGCUCCCAAAAGGGAGGUGUGUGUUGGGGGCUGGGGGGGUGGCAGAAGAAGGUGGUGGGGGCAUCUCGCCGAGCGGGAGAUGGAGAAAGAGGCUCCAUUUUCCCUGCAUCCAAGGAGCUGUGCUUCGCCGCGUUCGGCGAGAGAGAGAAGAAAAGCGGCGGCGGCGGCUUUGUGGCAGCUCCUCGGGGAGGAGGCCCCGGAGGGCAGGGGCGGUUGGGGGGUGCGGGGCCCUCGGGCUGGGCCAUCCCCACCCGCCUGGGCCCCCCCGCUGCCGUCCGUGCUGGUUUGGUGGCCGCAAGCAGCAUCACUGCGCCAGGUCACGCCGGGUCCCCAGGAGGUACGCCCGGGCAUGCAGAUGGUGAACGGGCCACCACGAGAAGAUUGGGGUGUCCUGAGGCUCGUCUGGGGUGCUCAGGGCUCCUCCAGGGAGGGGGUGGCUGCACCCAUGGGUGGGAGAGCUGCAGGGCUCUGGGUGUCACCCUGCUGUGGCCUCCACUGCGACCAUGGCCUUGCAGCAAGGGACAGCCCGAAAUAUUUAACACGGACACACGCCGUAAGGCCACCUCCAGGGCUGGAUGUCCCUUCAGGCCCGGGUGACAUCCCCAAGCCCCACAGCCCGACGGGAGGAGAGGAGCGAGGAGGAGGACCCACAACAUCCCGACGCCGAGCGGGGACAAACAUCAGCACCGCGUCCCUCGUCCCCGGCCUUCCCUCGCCAGCAAACCCCGCUCGGCCCCAAUCGGCUCAGAGAUCCUGGGCAGAGCCUUCCUGCACCCGCACUCGCUGCAGCGCGAUGCCCGCCGUCCUGCGCCCUCUCCCGGGACGCGCGUGUCUGCCGCUGAUAUCUCCUGCCCAUCCUCUUCUGUCAACACUGCCGGAGCGAGGGAGAGAUUUGAUUUUUAGCAGCGUGCCCUCUGUGUCAAUAACUCCCCCCGGCCCUUCUCGCCAGCUCGGCCUUCUCCUCGCCCCCCUCUCCUGCCGGCGGCAGACGCCGGGAGCCGUGGCGGGAGGGCGGCGGGCAGACAAAGAGCAGCCCCCCCCCUGCCCCAGCCCCCCGGGGGGGCAGCAGCCC